rnacentral:rRNA from 1 species
UGACGGAGCAACGCCGCGUGAGUGAUGAAGGUUUUCGGAUCGUAAAGCUCUGUUGUUAGGGAAGAACAAGUGCCGUUCAAAUAGGGCGGCACCUUGACGGUACCUAACCAGAAAGCCACGGCUAACUACGUGCCAGCAGCCGCGGUAAUACGUAGGUGGCAAGCGUUGUCCGGAAUUAUUGGGCGUAAAGGGCUCGCAGGCGGUUUCUUAAGUCUGAUGUGAAAGCCCCCGGCUCAACCGGGGAGGGUCAUUGGAAACUGGGGAACUUGAGUGCAGAAGAGGAGAGUGGAAUUCCACGUGUAGCGGUGAAAUGCGUAGAGAUGUGGAGGAACACCAGUGGCGAAGGCGACUCUCUGGUCUGUAACUGACGCUGAGGAGCGAAAGCGUGGGGAGCGAACAGGAUUAGAUACCCUGGUAGUCCACGCCGUAAACGAUGAGUGCUAAGUGUUAGGGGGUUUCCGCCCCCUUAGUGCUGCAGCUAACGCAUUAAGCACUCCGCCUGGGGAGUACGGUCGCAAGACUGAAACUCAAAGGAAUUGACGGGGGCCCGCACAAGCGGUGGAGCAUGUGGUUUAAUNCGAACCACGCGAANAACCUUACCAGGUCUUGACAUCCUCUGACAUCCUANAAAUAGGACGUCCCCUUCGGGGCAAAUGA